rnacentral:rRNA from 1 species
AGAGUUUGAUCCUGGCUCAGGACGAACGCUGGCGGCGUGCCUAAUACAUGCAAGUCGAACGCUUCUUUUUCCACCGGAGCUUGCUCCACCGGAAAAAGAGGAGUGGCGAACGGGUGAGUAACACGUGGGUAACCUGCCCAUCAGAAGGGGAUAACACUUGGAAACAGGUGCUAAUACCGUAUAACAAUCNNNNNNNNNNGGUUUUGAUUUGAAAGGCGCUUUCGGGUGUCGCUGAUGGAUGGACCCGCGGUGCAUUAGCUAGUUGGUGAGGUAACGGCUCACCAAGGCCACGAUGCAUAGCCGACCUGAGAGGGUGAUCGGCCACAUUGGGACUGAGACACGGCCCAAACUCCUACGGGAGGCAGCAGUAGGGAAUCUUCGGCAAUGGACGAAAGUCUGACCGAGCAACGCCGCGUGAGUGAAGAAGGUUUUCGGAUCGUAAAACUCUGUUGUUAGAGAAGAACAAGGAUGAGAGUAACUGUUCAUCCCUUGACGGUAUCUAACCAGAAAGCCACGGCUAACUACGUGCCAGCAGCCGCGGUAAUACGUAGGUGGCAAGCGUUGUCCGGAUUUAUUGGGCGUAAAGCGAGCGCAGGCGGUUUCUUAAGUCUGAUGUGAAAGCCCCCGGCUCAACCGGGGAGGGUCAUUGGAAACUGGGAGACUUGAGUGCAGAAGAGGAGAGUGGAAUUCCAUGUGUAGCGGUGAAAUGCGUAGAUAUAUGGAGGAACACCAGUGGCGAAGGCGGCUCUCUGGUCUGUAACUGACGCUGAGGCUCGAAAGCGUGGGGAGCAAACAGGAUUAGAUACCCUGGUAGUCCACGCCGUAAACGAUGAGUGCUAAGUGUUGGAGGGUUUCCGCCCUUCAGUGCUGCAGCUAACGCAUUAAGCACUCCGCCUGGGGAGUACGACCGCAAGGUUGAAACUCAAAGGAAUUGACGGGGGCCCGCACAAGCGGUGGAGCAUGUGGUUUAAUUCGAAGCAACGCGAAGAACCUUACCAGGUCUUGACAUCCUUUGACCACUCUAGAGAUAGAGCUUCCCCUUCGGGGGCAAAGUGACAGGUG